AUGUUUCAGGUAAGAUCUGACGGUUUGGGUUUGUUAUUAUUUGCUAAGGAGGGUAUGGCUGGGACUUUGGGCGCAACUCGCUUUUACGCAUGUGCCAGGCAUGGGGCGAGAGCGCGGCACACUCGCACACACGCCGCCCGCCGUGGCGGGCGGCUCGGGAUCUGUUCGGACCCGCGGCGGAGCAGGGGCCGCCGCCUCCUCCCGGGCUGCAGCUGCCGGUUCUCGGCUUUCUUCCUCCAGUGGGAGCGGGCGCGAGCGGGGCGGAGCGGGUGCGGCCGGCCGGGGCCGCUACCGGGGGCCGGGAGCCCGCGAGCCGGGGCCGGGUUUCCGGAUCUCUGGGUCGGGUUCCGGAUCUUGGAGAGGAGCCGCCGCGGCUGUGGGAGCCCGUGCCAGCGCCGCCCGCCCGCCGCUCCGCGCGCCAGCCUCCCCCGCGACCGCUCCGCCGCGGCUCACCCCCGCCCUCCCCGAGCCCCUCCCUCCUCCCCCGAGCCCCGCGCGUCCCUUUCUUCCCCGGCACAGAGCUCUGCGCCCGCGAAGCGGCCCCGCCAAGAGCGCCCAGCGCCGCGGGUUCCCGGCCGCCGCCGCCGCCGGGGCGCCCCGAGCCAAGCGAACAUCCCUGCGGGCCCCGCGGGGGGCGGUGGCGCCCGGGGCUGCGUGCCUGCCGGGGUAGGGAGCCCGCCGCCCCCUUCUCGCAGGCAGCUCGGCGGCGCCCCCGGACGCCCCGUGAAAGACGCCAUUGUGACUGCCAAGCGGAUUGGGGCCCGGGGCGGUUUUUUCUUCCCCUUUUGCCCGGGCCGGACCGCGCCGCUCCCCUUUGUGAGCCGCGGCCGGCGCCCGGCGCUGUUCGUCUCCGACCGGGCUGAUCCAGAUUCGCCGCCUCCUCCCACCCGGGAGCCUUUAAAGCCCCCUCCCACUCCCUCCCAUCUCCAGCCCCCUUCCCUCUUUUGGAUGCAAACGUUUCAUUUAUUUUUAAAAAGCUCUCAUUCCUCUUCCUCCCCACCUCCUCCCCGGAUAGAGGGCACGGCAAAUGCUCUGGAUUAG
rnacentral:lncRNA from 13 species